GAAGAACCUUACCACCCCUUGACAUCCUCGGAACUGCCUGGAGACAGGCAGGUGCCUUCGGGAACCGAGUGACAGGUGCUGCAUGGCUGUUGUCAGCUCGUGUCGCGAGAUGUUGGGUUAAGUCCCGUAACGAGCGCAACCCUUGUCCUUAUUUGCCAGCGGGUCAGGCCGGGAACUCUAGGGAGACUGCCGGUGACAAACCGGAGGAAGGUGGGGAUGACGUCAAGUCAUCAUGGCCCUCACGGGGUGGGCUACAAACGUGCUACAAUGGGCGGCACAGAGGGCUGCGAACCAGCAAUGGCAAGCGAAUCCCAAAAAACCGCUCGUUGUCCGGAUAGGAGUCUGCAACUCGACUCCUUGAAGUCGGAAUCGCUAGUAAUCGCGAAUCAGA
rnacentral:rRNA from 1 species